ACCUGGCUAGCUCAGUUAGUAGAGCAUGUGACUCUUGAUCUUUAGAUAGGAGUUCAAGGCCCAUGUUGGGUA
rnacentral:tRNA from 1 species